rnacentral:lncRNA from 1 species
GAUGAUCCAUCCAAGUAGAACCCGAUCGAGGCGACGAUGAUGAUGAUGAUCCGUAAGGGUAAGAUUGGAAAAGUACUUUUGUAUCAUCGUUUCAUUGAUUGAAUUUGAAUGAUAAGAUCAAAUCGAUCUUCUCUGUUCUUCUUCUUCAGUAAAAGAAAACAAUAUCGAUUACUGAGUCUAGCCACGGCGAAGCUUUCACCAGCGAAGAGAGGUAUUUGUAAAAAGCCCUCGUCUCCUUGAUUCCUAUUGGAGAUUAGGAAUGAUUUAAUUAGAGAUCAUGAUGAUGAUUUAGUAUCUAAAAUCUGUUUAUCUGUACAAAUCCUAUACGUUGUUAUACAUUGGUUGGUGGAUGAACACAGGACAUGCAGCCUCGUAGAGUUGCAGCCAUGUUUUUUUCUCGUCGUGAUGCUGAAGUUGGUUACAUCGUUCGUUUUGAGGAAACCAGAACCGUGCUUAAGUAAGCUCUGUCUCUCUUUAGCUUCUCUUCUUUAUAAUCUUAUGUACUUUUGUGGCUAAUUAUGUGUUACUUGGGAGCAAUGGAUGGUGAAGGUAACUUGACAAAGACAGGUAAGAUAAUGAUCAGUGAGUUCCCCUUGGAUCCACAGAUCCUGUAUUCAACUUCUCAAAUGAGAUUCUCUCGGUUUCAGCCAUGCUCUCAGGUACCACCCCUUUACUUUCGUUUUCUUGAAAAGAUUCUUGCUAGCUUUGGUUAGGUAUGUAGUGAUUAUCAGUUAUAAUCAAGUAUUAGAGUUAGGUUAUCAUCAGCAGUCUCUAGUCUUAGGUUCUGCAUACCCAUGCAAGUAAGUGCUGAUGCAGAUACUAGUUGCAGUUUCUCAGUUAUUCUCAUUGCCUUUAUGCAUCUGUUGACUUCUUCCAUGGACCUCUUCUUUUAUAAAUACCAAUUCUUUCUCUGCUUUAUUCAGCCUGUAAAGGAUCAAAAAGCAGCAGAUGAAGAAGCUAAAGCUAGAUUUGGACACAUUGAUGGAGAUCAUCUAAACAGUGUUGAAUCGUCUACCACGCUUUUAAGCAAAAACAGUAAGUGAUCAUCCCUUUCUCUUCCUCUUUUGUCAAUUACAAUUUACGGUAAUUAACUUGGUUAAUGUAAAAAUUCUUACAGAUGAAGAUCCCAAUUGGUGCCUAUGAAAUCUACAGACAAUGUUAGACAGCAGCUCUUCCAGAUAGAUAACAACAACAAUGUGGUUCUCUGUUUUAAAAGUCUUCACUUUGCAAGUUGCUGAAAGCAGAGGUGUACACUGACUACAUUCAAGUACACUUCCUCUCUCUUCUUCUCUGAUCAAGAUUCAGAAACUUUAAGCAUUACUAAAUACCCAUCAUUAACAACAACUCUAAUGACUCUGCAGGGAUCAUAUUGCUCCAAGUGGUUAUAUCAAGAUCCCUACCGUAAACUCAAGCCCUUAUCUUUCUAAUCCUCAAAUCAUUUCCAAUUACAUAAAAUACUUCAAUCUUUGUGAUCUGUUUUCUCAGGAAAUGUCAAAGUAUUUGGAACACUCCAAGUAUCUGCCAAAGCUCAACAACGAGAGACCUAACAAGAGGAACCCCAUUUUUAAAGACCGGUUCACUAGCUUGCACAACUUGGUCCUCGUCAUGGUGCUUCUCUUUCUUAAACAACCUGAAGAUGUGCAGCACUCAUUUUAACUACUAUUAUCAACCAUGCUUGCCGGAUAUUUCAUGCAAGUGGCUCACGUAGAACGCACUUGACAGCCAAACACAAGUAUGUCAAGAAAAAUUCAGUUUAUAUUGUUGUUUCCAUUUAAACAUUAUCCUCUUGUGUUUCAUCUCAUGGUUGAAAAUUCUGGGUUUCAUUUGCAUCCAUCAAAUUGCUUGGAUCACAAACCUGAGUGGGUGUAACCUACAACGAAUAUGUUGCUUGGAUCACAAGCUAGUAGAUGUUGCUCCUCAUGAAACGUGUCCUCGAGAAGCUGGGAGGAGGAAGAGAGCAAGAACCGGAAAAGAAGAACAUUCAUAUCCUCAUAAGCAGGUUCGUGAUACUCGUCGUCAUCUUUUAAUUUGGUUUUGAGAAUUGAAUUCGAGUGGUAUUAUGCAUAGAGAUGAUAUCUCUGAUUCUCUCAUGGGUUUGUUUUGUAUUAUGUGUAACAUAUAGGUAGUUCUUCCCUCAUGAUGAUCCAGACAUCACAGCUUUGCAGGUUACUUUCUUACCAUUUUUUUUUUUUUGAUUAAGGAUAAUGAUUUUGAUUUUAAAAUAUACAAAAAGUAAAAAAGUUUUUAUGUUUUUUUUUCACUUCUGAUUUUUAUAAUUUAAAACUAAAUAUCAAAAUUUUUACUUUUUACCAAAUAUUUUUCAAGUAAAUAGUUUUACAUUUUAAGUUAACCAAAAUGUUUUUUUUUUAUAAUUAUUUUGUUGUAUCUAAGUGUUAAAUUAAAUACGUCGAAAAUAAACCGAACCUAGCAUCCAGUCCCUUUGUGGUCCGUAAGUUUGGUGUAAAAGUUCAACAUGUUUUCGCGUAUGGUAAAUUUAACGCUUAGACGCUUCAAAGUUUUUUUUUAUAAAUACUAUUUUAAGUAAAUUGUAUUGAUUUUUAAACUAAAAUUUAUCAUUAUAUAAUAUGUUUUUUAAAAAUAGCUUGAACAAUGCUAAUAUACACCAAAAUGGUAUAUUAAAAAUCUGUCUUUUUCUAAAACUACCAAAACCAAAACGAUUCAUUUAAUUAGAGGGAGUCUAAACGCUCUGUUUUGCUGUUAUUCCAACCGCUCGUUUUUGGACACCGUUACAACGAAAGAGAGAGAUCCAUAGUGGAAAUAUCACUGGAAAAAAUUGGAGUUAAUCUUACAUUUUAAAAAAAAACUUUUAUAGCAAUACCAAGUAGAAAACGCCGAUUACAAUACCAAAACGGUCAACAUGGCCACAUGCCUAUAUAAAAAGAAAAAAAAAGGAAAAGAAAAGAUUGAAAAGAAAGUUGAAAAAGAUAAAGGGCUCAGACCCAACAACAAUACAAAAAGGGUAAAAAGAUUACAAGGCUUGAAAACGUUAAGGCCACAGGCCCAAACGAGGAAGAACAACUACUAACCAGCUCUUGGAAGGCUUCCUCUUACAUUUCCCUUGAAAACUACGCGGUCCGAAGUAACGGCCUAGUUUUUGUGAAGAAGAUGUUUCCAUGACAAUACUUAGACCAUGACUGGGAGAUGAUAAUGAUGGUCCAAGAUUUGUUAAGAAUUAAUGGUCUAAGUAUUGUUCAACUCCAAAAACUUCAAAAUGUAAAACGUGGCCAUUUAACUUCACUAGUGGCAUAAGCCAUAGAGUGGAAUAAGAUGGCAUAUAGUCUUCUGUUUCUUUCUCUUCAAAGAUAUACAUUCCAGCCUAACUAGUUCAAUUUAACCAAGAAACCAAAAUAAACCAAAUCGAGCUCGAUUCGGUUACAAUUUAACCGAGCUCACAUGGUUAAGUGUGUAUUUCAAUAACGCUCACUACAACAAGUAGUACAAAGUAUGGCUCACAUCAUAAAUGUCUUGACUACUUCCAGAACGCGGUUCACCUCCACCAAGAUAAAAACUCAGAGCUAAACUCGAUUCAACUUGGUUUUUAAUUCCAUUAGACAAAGAUACAACAUUCUACAAGAUCAUCCUUGCUAAACAAAAACAGUAGUAGACUAGUAGCAGUAAAGUAAACACAACCCACUAGAGCAAGUAUACGAAUACUUGUACAUAAUAACCAUCUUCUCACUAAUCCCACCAAACGAACAACAACAAGUACCAAACCAAUGAUCAGCAGAUUCUCGCCAACUAAUACACGACAACCAUUUCAGAGAAAUCGAAAAGUUCCUUCUUUGUUAACCUAGUUGAGCAAUUUCUAAAGUAAAUAUGAACUCCUCCCAUUGAAGACAGAGUCAUGAGAUCAUAACCCAUCCCCAAAGGCGCCGCCUUUUCACUAGAAUCAAUCGCCAAAUUAAAGUCUGAGACUAUAUGAUGAUCAACAGGAAGUAACAAAACAAGUCUAACCUCAAUAUGAUCGUUUAAAGCUUUGAAAUUUACAGUGGAUUCAACAUCGAGCAGAACCCUAGGAACAAGAACACGGAGAGAUACAAUCUCUUCUUUGCCUGUGCCUUCUUCUUCGUCGUCGUCGUCGUCGUCAUUGAUCCAUGUGACGAAAAAGCUGAGAUUUUUCAAGGAUGAUUGAAACAUUGAGGCUUUUGCAGUGCCUCCAUUGGAAAAAUUGCUUUGUUUCGAUUUUUUCACUUACUAAAUUUUAUUGUGUUACAGAUAUCAAACCGACCCGACAUGACCCGACCGAGUUCGUAAUUUUGUAUAUGUUUAUUUCGGUUAAAAUCAUUAUCAUACGUUACUUCUUUAACGGUUGGGUAUAAUUUAUAACGUAGAAAAUCAUGAUACAUAUAUGAAUAGCAUGUUUCAGUAUUGAGAUUUGAAAUUUUAGAAACUAUCUAGUAAUAUUUUGUUACCGUUAGGAUGAAAAAAGAAAAGGAAAUAACAAAAAACGAAAUCUCUUAAUUUCCUUAAAAAAGUAUAAUUAAAUCUGACCGUUAUGAGAUUAAUAUCAAUCUCCUUUCUUUCACACAACUCAACGCUUCUUCUUCUUCAUUCAUCCUUGAGAGAUAAUUCAAAAACUCUCUCUUCUUCUUCUUAUAUCCUUUUCUAAACCCUAAAACGAUAAAGAUCUGUUAGGUUAAAGAUUGGAAAAGUAUUUUAUAUAAUCGUUUCGUUCAUUGAUUGAAUGAUCAGAUCGAUCGCUCUGUCUUCUUCUUCUUCUUAAUUCUAAAUCAGUAUCGGUUUCACGAGAGACUACGACGAAAUUGGAAAAGUGAAGAGAGGAAUCGAGCGAGAAGUAUUCGUAAUAAGUCUCUGUAAAUUCCAAGUAGAACCCGAUCGAGGCGAUGAUGAUGAUGAUGAUGAUCCGUAAGGGUAAGAUUGGAAAAAGUACUUUUAUAUCAUCGUUUCGUUUUGUUUCGUUUCAUUGAUUGAAUUUGAAUGAUAAGAUCAGAUCGAUCUCCUCUGUUCUUCUUCUUCUUCUUCUUCAGUCUAUAUUUCAAUAUUGAUUUUCACCGAGUCUUGCCACGGAGAAGCUUUCACCACUACGACGGAACUCAAAAGUGAAGAGAGGAAUCGAGCGAGGUAUUCGCAAAAGCUUGAUUUAUAUUUUAAAUUAGAGAUCAUGAUGAUUUAGUAUCUUAGAGAAUGAAUUGCUAACUCUAAAAUCUGUUUAUCUUUACAAAUCCUAUACUUCGUUAUACAUUGGUUGGUGGAUGCACACAGGACAUGCAGCCUCGUAAAGUUGCAGCCAUUUAUGUGUCUCGUCGUGUUGCUGAAGUUGGUUACGUACAUCGUUCUUUUUGAGGACACUAGAACCGUGCUUAA